rnacentral:rRNA from 1 species
AUGUGGACCCAGGCUCAACAUCUUUCUAGAGGCCACCCAGCGGCACUGUUUGAAUUGAGAGAUGAGCAUAGACAAAGAGAGGAAACGAGAGAGGAAGGAAGCCGCAUCAUGGGGGCGGGCACAUCAAAGUUUUCCGCGGCGGAAGUCGCCGGCGACAAGAUGCUCGGCGCCCCUCCAGACUCCUCGCGCCCUGCUGAUGAGGUAAGCUACGGCCCCUUUUCCCCUCUCUCCCCUCCACCCCCCAAAUUGUGCCCCCAUUUGCGUGUACGCGAGGUGAAAUCAAGCUGCGGAUGUCAAUUUUAUAUAGUCUAG